GACGAACGCUGGCGGCGUGCUUAACACAUGCAAGUCGAACGGAAAGGCCCUGCUUUUGUGGGUUUCUCGAGUGGCGAACGGGUGAGUAACACGUGAGUAACCUGCCCUUGACUUUGGGAUAACUUCUGGAAACUGGGGCUAAUACCGGAUAUGAUCUCCUGCUGCAUGGUGUUGGUUGGAAAGUUUCGGCCGUUGUGGCUAGACUCGCUGCUUAUCCGCUUGUUGGUGGGGUAGUUGCUUACCAAGGCUUUGACGGGUAGCCGGCCUGAGAGGGUGACCGGCCACAUUGGGACUGAGAGACGGCGCAGAAGGGUACGGGAGGCAGCAGUGGGGAGUAUUGCAGAAUGGGCGGAAGCCUGAGGCAGCAACGCCGCGUGCGGGAUGACGGGCUUCGAGUUGUAAACCGAUGUCGCCUGUGACGAGGAGUGAGUGACGGUAAUGGGUAAAGAAGCAACGGCUAACUACGUG
rnacentral:rRNA from 1 species